CUUUUACAUGUGAGUUAGUGUCUACAACAUCUUCGCCAGGCGUCAGAGGCACAUGAAGGUUCAAAUGGCUCUGAGCACUAUGGGACUUAACAGCUACGGUCAUCAGUCCCCUAGAACUUAGAACUACUUAAACCUAAUUAACCUAAGGACAUCACACAACACCCAGUCAUCACGAGGCAGAGAAAAUCCCUGACCCCGCCGGGAAUUGAACCCGGAAGCGAGAACGCUACCGCACGACCACGAGCUGCGGACUGUCUUUUGUAGGCUAUUCAUCCUGAGAAUACCACUGCAGUAAAUUCUUCAGAAUUUGGGAAGGGAGAGUUUCCUUCCAGUCUGUCCCACA